UUAGUGGCAGACGGGUGAGUAAUGCAUAGGAAUCUACCUAGUAGUAUGGGAUAGCCACUAGAAAUGGUGGGUAAUACUGUAUAAUCCCUGCGGGGGAAAGAUUUAUCGCUAUUAGAUGAGCCUACGUUAGAUUAGCUAGUUGGUGAGGUAAUGGCUUACCAAGGCUAUGAUCUAUAGCUGGUCUGAGAGGACGAUCAGCCACACUGGAACUGAGAUACGGUCCAGACUCCUACGGGAGGCAGCAGUGGGGAAUAUUGGACAAUGGGCGAAAGCCUGAUCCAGCUAUGCCGCGUGAGUGAAGAAGGCCUUCGGGUUGUAAAACUCU
rnacentral:rRNA from 1 species